CUCCUGGAAACGGGUGGUAAUGCCGGAUGCUCCGCCCCCUCGCAUGGGGGGUCGGGAAGGCUUUUGCGGAAUGGGAUGGGGUCGCGUCCUAUCAGCUUGUUGGCGGGGCGACGGCCCACCAAGGCUUCGACGGGUAGCCGGCCUGAGAGGGCGACCGGCCACAUUGGGACUGAGAUACGGCCCAGACUCCUACGGGAGGCCGCAGUGGGGAAUAUUGCACAAUGGGGGGAACCCUGAUGCAGCGACGCCGCGUGCGGGAUGGAGGCCUUCGGGUCGUGAACCGCUUUUGAUUGGGAGCAAGCGUGAGUGAGUGUACCUUUCGAAUAAGCACCGGCUAACUACGUGCCAGCAGCCGCGGUAAUACGUAGGGUGCAAGCGUUGUCCGGAAUCAUUGGGCGUAAAGGGCUCGUAGGCGGUUCGUCGCGUCCGGUGUGAAAGCCCAUCGCUUAACGGUGGGUCUGCGCCGGGUACGGGCGGGCUUGAGUGCGGCAGGGGAGGCUGGAAUUCCCGGUGUAACGGUGGAAUGUGUAGAUAUCGGGAAGAACACC
rnacentral:rRNA from 1 species